rnacentral:rRNA from 1 species
CACGUAGGGGGCAAGCGUUGUCCGGAUUUAUUGGGCGUAAAGAGCUCGUAGGUGGCUCGGUAAGUCGGGUGUGAAAUUUCGAGGCUCAACCUCGAAACGCCACCUGAUACUGCUGUGGCUAGAGUCCGGUAGGGGAGCGUGGAAUUCCUGGUGUAGCGGUGAAAUGCGCAGAUAUCAGGAGGAACACCGGUGGCGAAGGCGGCAUCCUGGACCGGUAUUGACGCUGAGGCGCGAAAGCCAGGGGAGCAAACGGG